rnacentral:rRNA from 1 species
GACGAACGCUGGCGGCGUGCCUAAUACAUGCAAGUUGAGCGAUGAAGCUUGGUGCUUGCACCAAUUUGAAGAGCAGCGAACGGGUGAGUAACGCGUGGGGAAUCUGCCUUUGAGCGGGGGACAACAUUUGGAAACGAAUGCUAAUACCGCAUAAUAACUUUAAACAUAAGUUUUAAGUUUGAAAGAUGCAAUUGCAUCACUCAAAGAUGAUCCCGCGUUGUAUUAGCUAGUUGGUGAGGUAAAGGCUCACCAAGGCGAUGAUACAUAGCCGACCUGAGAGGGUGAUCGGCCACAUUGGGACUGAGACACGGCCCAAACGCCUACGGGAGGCAGCAGUAGGGAAUCUUCGGCAAUGGACGAAAGUCUGACCGAGCAACGCCGCGUGAGUGAAGAAGGUUUUCGGAUCGUAAAACUCUGUUGGUAGAGAAGAACGUUGGUGAGAGUGGAAAGCUCAUCAAGUGACGGUAACUACCCAGAAAGGGACGGCUAACUACGUG